CCGGGCGACCUACCCAUGAGCAGGAUGAAGCGAAAGUAAAAUUUCGUGGAGGUCCGAACCCACGAGCGUUGAAAAGCUCGGGGAUGACUUGUGGGUAGCGGUGAAAUUCCAAUCGAGACCGGAGAUAGCUGGUUCCCCCCGAAAUAGCUUUAGGGCUAGCCUCAAGGUGAGAGAUACGGAGGUAGAGCACUGAAUGUCCUAGGGGGUAUUGCACCUACCGAAGACUAUCAAACUCCGAAUGCCGUCAUCUUAUACUUGGGAGUCAGACUGUGGGUGAUAAGAUUCAUAGUCGAAAGGGCAACAGCCCAGAUCGUCAGCUAAGGUCCCUAAAUGUAAGUUAAGUGGUAAAGGAUGUGGGAUUGCACAGACAACCAGGAUGUUGGCUUAG
rnacentral:rRNA from 1 species